rnacentral:tRNA from 1 species
CCAGCUGCUGGCCUGACCGGGCGGGCGGCGCCCGUCGCGCGGGCGGACCUCACACCGGGGGCCGUGUUUUGGCCACGUAAGCUGGA